CAGUAGCCGCGGGAAUACAGAGGGUGCAAGCGUUAAUCGGAAUUACUGGGCGUAAAGCGCGCGUAGGUGGUUUGUUAAGUUGGAUGUGAAAUCCCCGGGCUCAACCUGGGAACUGCAUCCAAAACUGGCAAGCUAGAGUAUGGUAGAGGGUGGUGGAAUUUCCUGUGUAGCGGUGAAAUGUGUAGAUAUAGGAAGGAACACCAGUGGCGAAGGCGACCACCUGGACUGAUACUGACACUGAGGUGCGAAAGCGUGGGGAGCAAACAGGAUUAGAUACCCCCGUAGUCCCUGUCUCUUAUAC
rnacentral:rRNA from 1 species